UGUGCAGAAGCAAAUGCCAAAAGGCCACAUAAAAUCGUAGGUGGUACCAGGCAGAUAUACACCACCAUGCAUGUGUGGUUGCUGUUCAUCUUGGAUAUAGUCAUCAAACAUGCGGUGGUGCUAUGAUAACUAUAAAGCAUGUUUUAACAGCAGCGCAUUGUAUAGCGAUCGGUAUUGAAGAGAGAGAUCCGCAUAUGCAUCCGAUGAAAUAUCUUUCAGUCGUAUCGGGAUCAAGCAAUCGUAGGGACACAGAGAAAGUUUUGGUGAGCUCCAUUUGCAACGUAAAUGUCCACAGACAUAUUGGGUGGAUUAUCCACCUUCACCUUCGGGGGACAUUGCAGUUUUGACGCUGUGUUAGAAAAUACCGCUUGGACCAACUCGACAACCAGCCAUAUUGCCUACUCGUCAACACAGAGCAGGGGAGAAAGGAUUAAUUCUUGGUUGGGGAUGGACUCAACCUGAAAACAGUAUGUCUGUCGAUGAACUUCAAAAAGCAGAAAUGACUAUCACUAGCGUUGAUGAUGAUCACUUCUUGGCAAGGGGUCAGAGCGGAGUCGCAUUUUGCAAUGGUGAUAGCGGUAGUCCUUUUUUGAUUAACAAUACUAUCGUAGGAAUAAUAUCGGAUUCUUCAGAUUGCACGGGAGAUACUGAAGGAUGGUACACAAAUGUUUUUGCAUAUACCACAUGGAUUGAAGACGUGAUAAUUUUUGGAGGACAGAAUGU